GACGAACGCUGGCGGCGUGCUUAACACAUGCAAGUCGAACGGAAAGGCCCUGCUUUUGUGGGGUGCUCGAGUGGCGAACGGAUGAGUAACACGUGCGUAACCUGCCCUUGACUUUGGGGUAACUUCAGGAAACUGAGGCUAAUACCGGAUAGGAGCUCCUGCUGCAUGGGGGGGGUUGGAAAGUUUCGGCGGUUGGGGAUGGCCUCGCGGCUUAUCAGCUUGUUGGUGGGGUAGUGGCUUACCAAGGCCUUGACGGGUAGCCGGCCUGAGAGGGUGACCGGCCACAUUGGGACUGAGAUACGGCCCAGACUCCUACGGGAGGCAGCAGUGGGGAAUAUUGCACAAUGGGCGGAAGCCUGAUGCAGCAACGCCGCGUGCGGGAUGACGGCCUUCGGGUUGUAAACCGCUUUCGCCUGUGACGAAGCGUGAGUGACGGUAAUGGGUAAAGAAGCACCGGCUAACUACGUG
rnacentral:rRNA from 1 species